rnacentral:rRNA from 1 species
UACGGAGGGGGCUAGCGUUGUUCGGAAUUACUGGGCGUAAAGCGCACGUAGGCGGAUCAGCAAGUUAGGGGUGAAAUCCCGGGGCUCAACCCCGGAACUGCCUUUAAAACUGUUGGUCUGGAGGUCGAGAGAGGUGAGUGGAAUUCCGGGUGUAGAGGUGAAAUUCGUAGAUAUUCGGAGGAACACCAGUGGCGAAGGCGGCUCACUGGCUCGAUACUGACGCUGAGGUGCGAAAGCGUGGGGAGCAAACAGG